rnacentral:rRNA from 1 species
GAUGAACGCUGGCGGCGUGCCUAAUACAUGCAAGUCGAGCGAACAGACGAGGAGUUUGCUCCUCUGACGUUAGCGGCGGACGGGUGAGUCACACGUGGAUAACCUACCUAUAAGACUGGGAUAACUUCGGGAAACCGGAGCUAAUACCGGAUAAUAUAUUGAACCGCAUGGUUCAUUAGUGAAAGACGGUUUUGCUGUCACUAAUAGAUGGAUCCGCGCCGCAUUAGCUAGUUGGUAAGGUAACGGCUUACCAAGGCUACGAUGCGUAGCCGACCUGAGAGGGUGGUCGGCCACACUGGAACUGAGACACGGUCCAGACUCCUACGGGAGGCAGCAGUAGGGAAUCUUCCGCAAUGGGCGAAAGCUUGACGGAGCAACGCCGCGUGAGUGAUGAAGGUCUUCGGAUCGUAAAACUCUGUUAUUAGGGAAGAACAAAUGUGUAAGUAACUAUGCACGUCUUGACGGUACCUAAUCAGAAAGCCACGGCUAACUACGUG